AGUGAACGCUGGCGGUAGGCCUAACACAUGCAAGUCGAACGGCAGCACAGUAAGAGCUUGCUCUUACGGGUGGCGAGUGGCGGACGGGUGAGGAAUACAUCGGAAUCUACUUUUUCGUGGGGGAUAACGUAGGGAAACUUACGCUAAUACCGCAUACGACCUACGGGUGAAAGCAGGGGAUCUUCGGACCUUGCGCGAUUGAAUGAGCCGAUGUCGGAUUAGCUAGUUGGCGGGGUAAAGACCCACCAAGGCGACGAUCCGUAGGUGGUCUGAGAGGAUGAUCAGCCACACUGGAACUGAGACACGGACCAGACUCCUACGGGAGGCAGCAGUGGGGAAUAUUGGACAAUGGGCGCAAGCCUGAUCCAGCCAUACCGCGUGGGUGAAGAAGGCCUUCGGGUUGUAAAGCCCUUUUGUUGGGAAAGAAAAGCAGCAGGUUAAUACCCCGCUGUUCUGACGGUACCCAAAGAAUAAGCACCGGCUAACUUCGUG
rnacentral:rRNA from 1 species